rnacentral:rRNA from 1 species
UCUCAGUUCGGACNGUAGGCUGCAACUCGCCUACACGAAGUUGGAAUUGCUAGUAAUCGUGGAUCAGCAUGCCACGGUGAAUACGUUCCCGGGUCUUGUACACACCGCCCGUCACACCAUGGGAGCUGGUAACACCCGAAGUCGGUAGUCUAACCGCAAGGAGGACGCCGCCGAAGGUGGGGUUGAUGAUUAGGGUUAAGUCGUAACAAGGUACC